rnacentral:rRNA from 1 species
GUAAGGAAUAUUGGUCAAUGGGCGAAAGCCUGAACCAGCCAUCCCGCGUGCAGGAUGAAGGUCCUAUGGAUUGUAAACUGCUUUUAUCAGGGAAGAAACGCCUUCAUUCAUGGGGGUCUGACGGUACCUGAGGAAUAAGCACCGGCUAACUCCGUGCCAGCAGCCGCGGUAAUACGGAGGGUGCGAGCGUUAUCCGGAAUCACUGGGUUUAAAGGGUGCGUAGGCGGGGAAUUAAGUCAGUGGUGAAAGCCUGUCGCUUAACGAUAGAAUUGCCAUUGAUACUGAUUUUCUUGAAUUGGGUUGAGGUUAGCGGAAUGUGACAUGUAGCGGUGAAAUGCAUAGAUAUGUCAUGGAACACCAAUUGCGAAGGCAGCUAGCUGGGCCUUGAUUGACGCUGAGGCACGAAAGCGUGGGUAGCGAACAGGAUUAGAUACCCGAGUAGUCC